rnacentral:rRNA from 1 species
GUUAAACCGGAGGAAGGUGGGAUGACGUCAAGUCCUCAUGGCCUUUAUGCUUAGGGCUACACACGUGCUACAAUGGGUGGUACAAAGAGCAGCCAACUCGCGAGAGCGCGCUAAAUCUCAAAAAAGCCAUCCUCAGUUCGGAUUGGAGUCUGCAACUCGACUCCAUGAAGUUGGAAUCGCUAGUAAUCGCGGAUCAGCAUGCCGCGGUCGAAUACGUUCCGGGCCUU